UACAGAGGGGGCAAGCGUUAUUCGGAAUUACUGGGCGUAAAGCGCACGUAGGCGGCUUUGUAAGUAAGAGGUGAAAGCCCAGAGCUCAACUCUGGAAUUGCCUUUUAGACUGCAUCGCUUGAAUCAUGGAGAGGUCAGUGGAAUUCCGAGUGUAGAGGUGAAAUUCGUAGAUAUUCGGAAGAACACCAGUGGCGAAGGCGGCUGACUGGACAUGUAUUGACGCUGAGGUGCGAAAGCGUGGGGAGCAAACAGG
rnacentral:rRNA from 1 species